rnacentral:rRNA from 1 species
AUUGAACGCUGGCGGCAGGCCUAACACAUGCAAGUCGAACGGUAACAGAAAGCAGCUUGCUGCUUUGCUGACGAGUGGCGGACGGGUGAGUAAUGUCUGGGAAACUGCCUGAUGGAGGGGGAUAACUACUGGAAACGGUAGCUAAUACCGCAUAACGUCGCAAGACCAAAGAGGGGGACCUUCGGGCCUCUUGCCAUCGGAUGUGCCCAGAUGGGAUUAGCUUGUUGGUGGGGUAACGGCUCACCAAGGCGACGAUCCCUAGCUGGUCUGAGAGGAUGACCAGCCACACUGGAACUGAGACACGGUCCAGACUCCUACGGGAGGCAGCAGUGGGGAAUAUUGCACAAUGGGCGCAAGCCUGAUGCAGCCAUGCCGCGUGUAUGAAGAAGGCCUUCGGGUUGUAAAGUACUUUCAGUGGGGAGGAAGGGAGUAAAGUUAAUACCUUUGCUCAUUGACGUUACCCGCAGAAGAAGCACCGGCUAACUCCGUG